GAGCCCAGCCCAGCUGUGGCUGGAGUUGGUGGGACAGGUCCGGAGAGGGCUGGGCCCUUAGCCUGGGGACUGUGGCCUGGGGACUAAGUGAAAGCCCAUGAGGGGACCAAAGGAUGAGGCCCCUGAGCUGGUCACCACAGCCAAAACCUGGGCACGGAGGAGGUGAGGGGCCCACACCAGAGUCAGCUUCCCAGACCGAGGACCGCCAGACCCUCCUUGUUCUCUGAUCAAGGGGAAGCUGAAAGACUCGGAUGGACCACGACCUCGAGAUGCAGCCACGUGGAGCCCCAGGGCCUGGAACCUCCUUUUCCCGUGGCCAUCUACUGGGGUGCCCUGCCCGCCCCUCAAAACUCCCUGGAGGGGUGUCACCUCUCAUCCCUGUUCUCAGGAAGACCAUCCAUCUGGACGCUUGCCCCCAGAGCCACAUCCCACAGGCUCCUGGUCGACUGGGACUAGGAGUGAGGGCCCGGAGCGUACCCCUGCAGGACACUGGCAAGAGUCUUGUGCCCAGAAAGCUCAGCUCCGUCUCCUUAACACUUCGCCAGCACAGCCACGCAUGGCCCCUGGGCCCCCUACCUUCUCACUGGGAAGAGCUGUCCGCCUCGGGCACCCAUGGAGGAGGAAGACUGCCCACUCCGGGCUCACCAUCUGUGACCCGAGCGCCAGGGGGCAGGGUCCACUCCGAGGACCCAGGUAGCCCAGGUCUGGCCAAACCCAGCAAGAUGCCCACGGUGGAGAAGCCCCUGGUGAGUUCAUACUUGACUCUACCUUUCCAAGCUCGGUUAGCUCAGAGUCCACCAGGUCCUGCAGGGCCAGGCGCAGGGGGUCAGAGGCACCCUGUCCCAGCGACUGCCCAUGUGCCCACCAGAGCUUCUCCAGGAAGAGGCAAGCCCCGGGCCAGGGGUAUUCCAAGACCCCGGCUGCAGCUCCAAAGGGCCACCCCUACCACGGGGCCUGCCACGGCCAUGGAUCUGGCUACUCCGGACCCCACACGGCCAGGCACAGCCAGACAUUUAGCCACAGCGGCCAAUAGACCUGGUUUGGCUGUCAACUUGGCUACACCAAACACCUCCAGACUGGACAUGGGCACGGAGUUCCCUGAUCUGGAUCCCAAACUGGGCACUGCCACGGACUUGGCUUCAGCAGGCACGACCAAGCCAGGCAUGGUCAUGGACUUGGUAACCUCAGACCCAGAAAAGGUGAGCAAAGCCAUACCUACAGCAGGCACAGCCAAGCCAGACACAACCACAGGGGGUCCAGCCAUGGACCUGGCAGUACCAGACUCAGUCAAGCUGGGCACAGCCAGGCCAGACAGAGCCAUGGUGCUCGGCAGGGCCAAUACAGCCAAUCUGGACAUAACUACCGAUUCUCUUGCUAUGCACACAACAAGCAGGCUGGGCAGAGCCAUAGGUUCAGUUGUGCCAGUCACCCCAGACCCAGCCACCGGGGAGAUCGCGCUGGACUGUGUCAUUAACCUGACUACAUCAGAUAUUGCUAUCUACCCAUCAAUGCUAAGCAGAAGCCCAGAUCCAGCCCUGGACCAUGUGACAGCCGAUGCUGCCACAGACCUGGCCACAGAGAUCACCAUGCUGGACCUGGCCAGAGAAAGCAGAGGGCUCCCGGAGGCCAGGACGGACACAGCCAUGUCAGAGCUGGUGCCGGAGCCCAGGCCGAAGCCGGCCGUGCCCAUGAAGCCCGUGAGCAUCAACUCCAGCCUGCUGGGCUACAUUGGCAUCGACACCAUCAUCGAGCAGAUGCGCAAGAAGACCAUGAAGACCGGCUUCGACUUCAACAUCAUGGUCGUCGGUCAGAGUGGACUGGGCAAGUCGACGCUGGUCAACACCCUCUUCAAAUCCCAAGUGAGCCGCAAGGCCUCCAGCUGGAACCGGGAGGAGAAGAUCCCCAAGACGGUGGAGAUCAAAGCUAUUGGGCACGUAAUAGAAGAAGGCGGCGUGAAGAUGAAGCUGACUGUCAUCGACACCCCGGGCUUCGGAGACCAGAUCAACAAUGAAAACUGCUGGGAGCCCAUUGAGAAAUACAUCAAUGAGCAGUAUGAGAAGUUCCUGAAGGAGGAGGUGAAUAUCGCCAGGAAGAAACGCAUCCCUGACACUCGUGUCCACUGCUGCCUCUACUUCAUCUCCCCGACUGGACACUCCUUGCGACCUCUGGAUCUGGAGUUCAUGAAACACCUCAGCAAAGUCGUGAACAUCAUUCCUGUCAUCGCCAAGGCUGACACCAUGACCCUGGAGGAGAAGUCUGAAUUCAAGCAAAGGGUCCGAAAGGAGCUUGAAGUAAAUGGCAUUGAAUUCUACCCCCAGAAGGAAUUUGAUGAGGAUUUAGAGGACAAGACAGAGAAUGACAAAAUACGGCAGGAGAGCAUGCCUUUCGCUGUGGUGGGAAGUGACAAGGAAUACCAAGUGAAUGGCAAGCGGGUCCUCGGCCGAAAAACUCCCUGGGGGAUCAUUGAAGUGGAAAACCUCAACCACUGUGAGUUUGCCCUGCUUCGAGACUUUGUCAUCAGGACCCACCUCCAGGACCUCAAGGAAGUGACACACAACAUCCACUAUGAGACCUACAGGGCCAAGCGGCUCAAUGACAAUGGCGGCCUCCCUCCGGUGAGCGUGGACACAGAGGAAAGCCACGACAGUAACCCAUGACGACCCUUUCUCUGUAUCAUCACACAUACUCACCUCUACACACACACACACACACACACACACACACACACACGCACACAUCCCCAAACCACCACCAACCACCUUCUUCCUUUCUGCUCUGUCCCACAGGCCUGUCUGAUAUUUGUGGAGCAUCUUGUCUACAGCGCGCAUGCGUGUGUGUGUGUGUGUGUGUGUGUGUGUGUGUAUGUACAUGUGAGAGAAUGCGCACGCAUGUGGGGGCGUGCAUGCGUGUGUCUGUGCAGGGCUGAGGUAUUUUCACUGCCCUCCCUGCAAAGUCCCUUGCAAGUUUGGCUCCUCCAUGGCUGUCCAUUAUCUGUCUCCUUUCCUUGUGUCCCAGAACACAGCCGAGUGCCUCACUCACAAGGUCUGGGGGAGGUUUCAUUUAAAAAUGAUGGGAGCAGGUGAGCCACAGGUAACUCUUUCUUAUCUCUGAACCCACCUGCAAACACAGUGACUUGCCACGAUUCUCCAAGGACAGUCUGUGGAGCUAGGCCCUGGGCGGGGGCGGGGAGUCGAGCACUUUACCCUCCCUGGAAGCCCAGGGUGGUCUGGGAUAAGGCUAGAACUUUCUGGGAAAAGAAAGGUCAGGGGGGAGCAGAGAAGCUGGGCUCCCGUAGAAAGAAUUAGUGCCUAGAAGUGGAGAGGAGAGCGUCACCCUUCUGUCCGUGUCACUGUCUGAAAGCUACCACCUGUCGCCAUCGCAGGCUGCUGCUUUCUGCGCUCCCCCGCCUUGUCCCUACAUUCUCUCUCCUCCCCCUUUUCCCUCCUUCCUUCAUCCUGCCCCCUCUGACUUCUUUCACUUCUAUUUAGCCUAACCCACAUCAGCUUCGUUUCUAUGUUUAGGACUGAUGCCCGGUCUACUUCCAUAAAUGACUUUAGGCCACUUAAAAUCACAGCUAAAAUCAUGGGACAGUACAAAUGGAGAUUACAAGAGGAACGGGAUCUAUAGAGAGGCAUGGGAAAGAAAGCUGCUGCAGUGAGCCCUGAAACUGGCCCAGGGCUUAUGGGUGGCCCAGCCAAGGAGGAGACACAGCAAGUUAUGCAGGUCCCAGGGUCUGGUUAAAGACGCACAUGUGCGGGUCAAGUGAGGCCACCUCUUUUUAGGCAUUAAGUUCUAGAAGAACUGAGUCUAAAGAAGUAUCAAGACCAAUAAUACACUGUAUUUGUCUUGGUAGUUUGGCUUCAGAGACAGUUUUAAACCACACCUCCCUUCUAUUAGGAUUCUUCCUUCUUAAAACGGGCUUCUCUCUUUCUCCCUUCUUCUUGUAUAUGCUUGACCCCUCUUCUACUUUCCCUUUCUCUCUGGUGUUGAAGCCAAUUGCAUUUUUGUCUGUCUUCCUUUGCUUUUCUCCAGCUCCCCCUCCUGACGCCCGGAGACAUUCCCAGUGAUACCCACAGUCAUACAUGGAGCCUUUUCUUGCCUUUCCUGUCCGCCCUCUAUUUAUUAAUGCAUAUAUUUCCCCUGUCCUUUUAGAGACAACUUAGUCUUUCUCCUUUGGUCUGUUAGGUGGCUGACAUUUGGGGCUGGGGUAACAAUGUAGCCUUAGGCAAGGGAAAACAAGUGAUACAGUUUACCAUAACCUCUUACCACAACGUCCUGUUCAAUCUCCUCGUCCAACCCUAGGUGUUUUACCGGUCCUCUGCAAAUUCCAGCGUUUAUAGUCCCUUAUCACUCAGGUGCUAGGAAAACACAUAGACUUAAGGAAGGCCAAGAAGAUUCAGUGGACCAGGAGAGAAAGAGGGAGAAGGCCUCCUGGGCACUGUCCUUCCACCUGUACCAGCCAUCCCCUGCCCCACUGCUGAAUGAAGGCCAUUCCAAGCGCCGCUCC